rnacentral:rRNA from 1 species
CCUACGGGAGGUAGCAGUGGGGAAUAUUGGACAAUGGGCGAAAGCCUGAUCCAGCCAUGCCGCGUGUGUGAAGAAGGCCUUCGGGUUGUAAAGCACUUUCAGUGGGGAAGAAAGCCUUGGGGCUAAUACCCUCGAGGAAGGACAUCACCCACAGAAGAAGCACCGGCUAACUCCGUGCCAGCAGCCGCGGUAAUACGGAGGGUGCGAGCGUUAAUCGGAAUUACUGGGCGUAAAGCGCGCGUAGGCGGUCUGAUAAGCCGGUUGUGAAAGCCCCGGGCUCAACCUGGGAACGGCAUCCGGAACUGUCAGGCUAGAGUGCAGGAGAGGAAGGUAGAAUUCCCGGUGUAGCGGUGAAAUGCGUAGAGAUCGGGAGGAAUACCAGUGGCGAAGGCGGCCUUCUGGACUGACACUGACGCUGAGGUGCGAAAGCGUGGGUAGCAAACAGGAUUAGAUACCCUAGUAGUC